AAAACGGUCAUGCAUAUCUUCGUAAGUCCUCAGCCUCUCAUUCAUUGCUGAGACUUUGGCGUCAAGCAAUGUGAAGGUGCACAUGUCGAUCGAUGUGGCUGGUUGUUGGUUCUUCUUGCGAAUGGUGUCCAAAUCUUGCUGUAGUAGCUCGAUUUUAGUGCUUAGCCAGUCCACGUUGUUGUUGAGAGGGCAGUAAACGUCGUUUAUCCUCGUGUCGAUGUAUGAGACUUCCCAUUCAUCCAUGUGUUGUGUUGAACAUCGCGGUUCU
rnacentral:lncRNA from 1 species